GAACAAAAUGAUCAGAAUUGUAGAAUUAUAUGAUAUCAGGAAGAAGACAUACUAUACUUACAGGUACAUGAUGCUAUAACUUGUCUGGAAAAGGGGCUUGGAUAACAUAAACAAACUAAAUAAAUAGACAGAAAGAUAAUGAUUCGUUGUUCCAGAGCUAUUACAAAUGGUCCAUUUUGGUACUCAGAAGCUGCUCUUUACAGUCCUAUAGAUUCUUUGAAAAUAGCUGCUUUCACGAGAAUCUGUAAACAUCAACUUUUCAAGUGCUUUAUAAAGUUAUAUAUUAAAGUCUAAUUCGUAAGUUUAAAUAUUUAUUCUAUACCACACAUAGAAAUAACUAGCGAACACAACACCACCACAGAGAAGCAAAAACGGGCCAUCUUUCAGAGGAAAACAUCAAAUGA